AGCGAACGCUGGCGGUAGGCUUAACACAUGCAAGUCGAACGGCAGCACACUACGAGUUUGCUCUUCCCGGUGGCCAGUCGCGGACGGGACAGGAAAAUAUCCGACCCUACUUUUUCGUGUGGGUUCAUGUAGGGAAACCUACGCUCAUACCGCAUCCGACCUUCGGGUGAAAGCAUGGGAUCUUCGCACCUUGCGCGAUUGAAUGCGCCGAUGUCGGAUUAGCUAGUUGGCGGGGUAAAGGCCCACCAAGGCGACGAUCCGUAGCUGGUCUGAGAGGAUGAUCAGCCACACUGGAACUGAGACACGGUCCAGACUCCUACGGGAGGCAGCAGUGGGGAAUAUUGGACAAUGGGCGCAAGCCUGAUCCAGCCAUACCGCGUGGGUGAAGAAGGCCUUCGGGUUGUAAAGCCCUUUUGUUGGGAAAGAAAAGCAGCAGGUUAAUACCCCGCUGUUCUGACGGUACCCAAAGAAUAAGCACCGGCUAACUUCGUG
rnacentral:rRNA from 1 species